ensembl:lncRNA
UCCUAGAACUGGGUGAAACCACAUCUCCUCCUCUGAGCUCCGCUGAUGGACAACAUGAAGUUAGGUAAUCACCUCCUGUUGAACUUGGUCCUCCUGGGACUCACUCACAACCCACAAAACGAGGCAGAUUGGACCCUGAAGGUCUUUGAAAGCCAAAUUAGAAAAAAGCCUUGCAAACUCUGCUUUGGUCUGUUGGAGCACUCGCUGUGGGGGAAGUAAGCUGCCAAGUAAAAAAUGGAACUACCCAGAGACCAUCACACUGUGGAAGCAGAGCUGGCCACAUGCUGAAGCUGCUGGAGAGAGAGACAUGCAACCAGCCCUCAGGUGUUCCAGCUCAGAGCCAAACACGUGGGCUAUGAAGCCUUCGGAUGCCCCAGCCUCGGUAUCCGUCUGCCUGCAACCACCUAGAGGACCUCAACAACAACAAAAAUUACCCGGCUGAGCCCAUCAACCCCUAGAAUGGAGAGAGACCAUGAUAAAUCACUGUUGUAAACCACUCAGUUUUGGACUGGUUUUUACACUGCAAUGCAUAAACAAUGAUUAUGCAAGUACUCUAUUUGGCUUUUUCUC